CUAUGUUGUUGUAUACUCAAUUAAAAUUUUCUAAGUUAGAUAAGGUAGAGCAUUGUAUAAUCUUAGAAACAUUUACUAUACAAAAGCAAACAUUUAGGAAGAGUCAGAAAUUGUGAUCCUGGAUAUUAUUCCAUAGAUGUUCAGCAAGCUUUGGAAAGAACUAUAGAGUUUUAUGAAGGCUGCUAAUGGCUAGAGAGUUUAAUGACUAGACUGCAUUUAGUAACCUUGGUAAUGCUCAUGUUUUUAUUUGAGAAUUUGAAAUAGCUGUACAAUAUUACUAGUAAGAAAAUUUCAAGCAUAAUUUUUUUUCAGAGAUGUCAAAAAAGACACUUGGUUGCUCAUUUUGCACAGGUAUUUGUUCUGAAAUUUUCCAGUCUCAAUGAUUCCUGAUUGCAAAACUUUUCUUGAGUUUGACGCUUUUUUGAGACCGUACAAGCUGCUACAUAGCUCCUUAUAAUUGUCUGCAUUGUGCAUUUGGUCAGUAAACAAAUGGUCCGCCUAUCUGAAGAAAUCAAUCUACAAAUGUUUAGUUUUUAAAACAGCCUAACUUUUUGUUAACCAAACUAGUAUCAAUCACUAUAUGAAAGAUUUGAAGAUUUAUAAAGGUUGGUAAAUACCUUGUUUUGAUUACCUUUUUACCACUAUUGACUGAUAAUAGAAGUCACUCUGUAUAAGAAUAUUUUAACCAAAAAUUCUCCAAUUAAUCAAAAAUGCUUUUU
rnacentral:lncRNA from 1 species